GUGUUAUAUGAAAGGAGAGAAGGUUAGUACUCCCCUUGACAAAGAUGGAAGAAGCCCUCACGCCUGCACAACACACAUACAGUCAAGGCAUUGCCACCUACUUCGUAGCAUCUAACCAUCAUUUUUU